rnacentral:pre_miRNA from 1 species
UAUAAGGGAUUUUGAGUUUUUGUUUGCAUUGUUUGACCACUCGUCUUAUUCAAAAAAUUUUGGAAUUAUUAUUUAUUUUUUUGUGACUUACUUUAUUAUCUAAAGUACUUUAAGCACAACUUUUCAUUUUUUAUAUUUGCACAAAUUUUUUGAAUAAGACGAGUGGUCAAACAGUGUAAGCAAAAACUCAAAAUCCCUUAUA